rnacentral:tRNA from 1 species
CGCGGAGUAGAGCAGCUUGGUAGCUCGUCAGGCUCAUAACCUGAAGGUCAUGGGUUCAAAUCCCAUCUCCGCAACCA